GCCCGUCACACCAUGAGAGUUGGAAAUACCCGAAGCCUGUGAGCUAACUUAAAGAGGCAGCAGUCGAAGGUAGAGCCAAUGAUUGGGGUGAAGUCGUAACAAGGUACC
rnacentral:rRNA from 1 species